AAGAGCCCGGUGACGGGAGACUGUCACGCCGGGAUCUGUGGGAGCCGGGGGCUGCAAUGCCCCCGGCCACCCGAC
rnacentral:ncRNA from 1 species